rnacentral:rRNA from 1 species
GUGAACGCUGGCGGUAGGCCUAACCCCUGCAAGUCGAACGGCAGCACAGUAAGAGCUUGCUCUUACGGGUGGCGAGUGGCGGACGGGUGAGGAAUACAUCGGAAUCUACUUUUUCGUGGGGGAUAACGUAGGGAAACUUACGCUAAUACCGCAUACGACCUACGGGUGAAAGCAGGGGAUCUUCGGACCUUGCGCGAUUGAAUGAGCCGAUGUCGGAUUAGCUAGUUGGCGGGGUAAAGGCCCACCAAGGCGACGAUCCGUAGCUGGUCUGAGAGGAUGAGCAGCCACACUGGAACUGAGACACGGUCCAGACUCCUACGGGAGGCAGCAGUGGGGAAUAUUGGACAAUGGGCGCAAGCCUGAUCCAGCCAUACCGCGUGGGUGAAGAAGGCCUUCGGGUUGUAAAGCCCUUUUGUUGGGAAAGAAAAGCAGCAGGUUAAUACCCCGCUGUUCUGACGGUACCCAAAGAAUAAGCACCGGCUAACUUCGUG